rnacentral:rRNA from 1 species
GGACUACUGGGGUAUCUAAUCCUGUUUGCUACCCACGCUUUCGUGUCUCAGCGUCAGAAGUGGUCCAGUAAGCUGUCUACACCACAGGUGUUCCUCCUGAUAUCUACGCAUUUCACCGCUACACCAGGAAUUCCGCUUACCUCUCCCACCCUCUAGCAUUCUAGUUUCCGCUGCACCCUCCCAGUUAAGCCGGGAGAUUUCACAACAGACUGGGAACACCGCCUACACACUCUUUACGCCCAGUAAUUCCGAACAACGCUCGCUGCCUACGUAUUACCGCGGCUGCUGGCAC